UCAUGCAACAACUUCUAAGGAACCAGAAC
rnacentral:piRNA from 1 species